GUGAGGAAUAUUGGUCAAUGGACGAGAGUCUGAACCAGCCAAGUAGCGUGAAGGAUGACUGCCCUAUGGGUUGUAAACUUCUUUUAUAAGGGAAUAAAGUGAGGGACGUGUCCCUUUUUGUAUGUACCUUAUGAAUAAGGAUCGGCUAACUCCGUGCCAGCAGCCGCGGUAAUACGGAGGAUCCAAGCGUUAUCCGGAUUUAUUGGGUUUAAAGGGAGCGUAGGUUGACAUAUAAGUCAGCUGUGAAAGUUUACGGCUCAACCGUGAAAUUGCAGUUGAUACUGUAUGUCUUGAGUGUACAAGAGGUGGGCGGAAUUCGUGGUGUAGCGGUGAAAUGCUUAGAUAUCACGAAGAACUCCAAUUGCGAAGGCAGCUCACUGGGGUACAACUGACACUGAGGCUCGAAAGUGUGGGUAUCAAACAGGAUUAGAAACCCCGGUAGUCC
rnacentral:rRNA from 1 species